GUCGCAAGACCAAAGUGGGGGACCUUCGGGCCUCAUGCCAUCAGAUGUGCCCAGAUGGGAUUAGCUAGUAGGUGGGGUAACGGCUCACCUAGGCGACGAUCCCUAGCUGGUCUGAGAGGAUGACCAGCCACACUGGAACUGAGACACGGUCCAGACUCCUACGGGAGGCAGCAGUGGGGAAUAUUGCACAAUGGGCGCAAGCCUGAUGCAGCCAUGCCGCGUGUGUGAAGAAGGCCUUCGGGUUGUAAAGCACUUUCAGCGGGGAGGAAGGCGAUAAGGUUAAUAACCUUGUCGAUUGACGUUACCCGCAGAAGAAGCACCGGCUAACUCCGUGCCAGCAGCCGCGGUAAUACGGAGGGUGCAAGCGUUAAUCGGAAUUACUGGGCGUAAAGCGCACGCAGGCGGUCUGUCAAGUCGGAUGUGAAAUCCCCGGGCU
rnacentral:rRNA from 1 species